rnacentral:rRNA from 1 species
UACGUAGGGUGCAAGCGUUGUCCGGAAUUAUUGGGCGUAAAGGGCGCGCAGGCGGCCACGCACGUCCGUUGUGAAAUCGCUCGGCUCAACUGGGCGGGGUCAGCGGAUACGGCGUGGCUGGAGCAAGCUAGGGGGCAAUGGAAUUCCCGGUGUAGUGGUGGAAUGCGUAGAUAUCGGGAGGAACACCAGUGGCGAAGGCGGUUGCCUGGAGCUUUGCUGACGCUGAGGCGCGAAAGCGUGGGGAGCAAACAGG